GUAAGAAACGAUCGAUUUGAAGUUCCAAGGGGUCGGGAUAGACCCUCCGUUUAGUAAAUACGUCUCAGAGUCACAUUGAACCGCUGCCUUGAACUCUCUUUAUAAUUCUCAUUACCAGUCACCCAUAAACUCGGAUUAAAACCCCACACUGAGCGUAUCUAGGUGCACCUAGAGCUCAGCCCUGUGUAGGUCGGUCCACUGAAGGAGCGGCAUUACUUAUUAUACCAUCAGUGUUGUCUGGCGGUAGAUAGGCGCCCCCUAGCGUCCGCUCCGGUCCGCCUCCAACACAACCCAAUUUAGGGGAGCCACCGGAGAAGGAGAACUACUUCAGUCUCUUGUCUCUCACAUAGACUAAACUAUUGGGCACCAUUCAAUCCCGCUAGCUAUUUGUUAAAAAAUGUGUGUAAUUUGACAAAGGAUCAUUUGGCUCCUAGCUCUGCCAAAAUGAGGAUUUACAUUUGGCUCCGUGGUGCGCGCGGUCCGAGCGGCGGCGUUCACACAGAUUAGGUUGUGAUUGUAGAUAAACCAGCACAACGAUUGUGUGCUUAUGUUAUGGACAGUUUUAUUCACCCGUUCUUGUAUCGUUAUCGGCGAAUAAAAAGCGUUACGAGGUGACGACAGAUUGUUUUCCCAUCAGUCGAGCAUGUGAGCCCCAGAACCAAGGGGAGCUGAACCAAUACCGGUGCAGAAAGGCUGGACAUUUUAGUCAAUGUCUACAAAAAAGAAAAUAAAAAAUGAAAAAUUAUUUGAUUUCAAAUUUAAAAUAUACAUUUAUUUCGAAUAGGCGCUUUUUUGCAUACAUCACUUGUAAAGGUUUUAAAUGGCUAUCAGCAUGGACCAUUUUAAUUUUAAUGAUUUCCCAGAAUAAUUUAAUUUUCUUAAAUUAUUAGUUGAUAUAUUUUUAAAUUAAAAUGGAAAAUAAUGUCGAAUAAAACCAAUUUGGCAGUUUCUUUCUUUCAAACACAGGAUGAAAGCGCCACUCAAACAGCCAGCACACAAUGCCGCCCUCGACGGGAUCAGUAUUGAUUAAGACGAGACGCAGGAUGUCGCCUGUGCUAAAUAUUUACUGAUCACACACAAAUAGCUGGAUCUUUAACGAUUUCCAAUGCUCAAACAUAAAUAACGGAGCGGAGCGCUUUAUUAUUGUGAGUAAAACAAAGCAGGCGACUCGACUGGAGAUGUGCUGAUUGCGAUAAGUGUAGUUAAACGAAUCGAUAGGUGGUGAAUUGCCGAGAUAAUAGUGGGAAUUUACGUUCGUGCAAAGGGAAAAGUUUUCCCUCAUAGGUAGCGGAGUAACGGUAUAUUCUGCAUCUGAGUCUACAGCUGUUAACUUAAGUUAGGAUAUAAACAUAAUAUACUCAUCCAAUUUUAUAUUUCCUUUUUUAUAUCAUUUAUAAAAAUAAAGAAAAUUGUUAGAGUGAAACAAGUCUUCUUAAGAGAAGUUCAACCUAGAAGAAAGUUGGCUUUAAUCUUAUCUUGACGACACCAAGUGCUUCAAGAUAGCAGAACUGUGACCCGCGGUCCCAGAGUUCCCGCCCUGAUUAACCCCUCCAGACCCGACCGGGAG
ensembl:lncRNA